UACGGAGGGUGCGAGCGUUGUCCGGAAUUAUUGGGCGUAAAGCGCACGUAGGCGGUUCUUUAAGUCUCUUGGUGAAAGGCUGGGGCUCAACCUCAUGCAUGCCGGGGAUACUGGAGGACUGGAGACAGGUAGAGGCGAGCGGAAUUCCGGGUGUAGCGGUGGAAUGCGUAGAGAUCCGGAAGAACACCGGAGGCGAAGGCGGCUCGCUGGACCUGAUCUGACGCUGAGGUGCGAAAGCGUGGGGAGCGAACAGG
rnacentral:rRNA from 1 species